GAUGAACGCUGGCGUCGUGCUUAACACAUGCAAGUCGAACGGUGAAGCAGGAGCUUGCUCUUGUGGAUCAGUGGCGAACGGGUGAGUAACACGUGAGCAACCUGCCCCUGACUCUGGGAUAAGCGCUGGAAACGGCGUCUAAUACUGGAUAUGUGAUGUGACCGCAUGGUCUGCAUCUGGAAAGAAUUUCGGUUGGGGAUGGGCUCGCGGCCUAUCAGCUUGUUGGUGAGGUAAUGGCUCACCAAGGCGUCGACGGGUAACCGGCCGGAGAGGGUGACCGGCCACACUGGGACUGAGACACGGCCCAGACUCCUACGGGAGGCAGCAGUGGGGGAUAUUGCACAAUGGGCGGAAGCCUGGUGCAGCAACGCCGCGUGAGGGAUGACGGCCUUCGGGUUGUAAACCUCUUUUAGCAGGGAAGAAGCGAAAGUGACGGUACCUGCAGAAAAAGCACCGGCUAACUACGUGCCAGCCGCCGCCGUAA
rnacentral:rRNA from 1 species